AAAGGCUUAUGGGUCCUGAUGGCUCAACACCAAGGCUAUAGAGCUGCUGACCAACUGCUAUGUUCUGGUACAAGGAAACACAGUGUCUGCCCUGGGGCCGCACAAAGGUCUAAGGGAGGUAAG